GGUUGUGGCUCAGUGGUAGCGCGCUUGCCUAGCAUGUGUGAGGCACUGGGUUUGAUUCUCAGCACCA
rnacentral:tRNA from 1 species